CCUAGAAGAAAGAAUAUCCUAUAAAAUUUAAAAGUUUGUAUUAUUGUUUCACACACUAAAGAAAGGAAAGAUGUCAAGCUAGUAGGCAAAAAUAAAUUACUUGAAUACUUUAGAUACUAUUAGACUAACAAUCAUACAUGACUCACAAGCAUAUUCCGUAAAACGAGGUGUGUACUAAAAGGAACCAGAGCUUCUCAGAGAAAUGGCUGAUUCCAGGGCUGGGGCAGGAGAGGUACAAGAUAAACCUGGAACAUCUUGUUAUGCCAAAAAUUAAGAAAGUGCUCCAAAAAAUGAUGAGGGAAGCAGAGGUUGCAGUAAGCCACCACUGCACUCCAGCCUGGGUGGCAGAGCAAGACUCUGUCUCCAAAUAGUAAAAAAAAAAAAAAAAAAAAAAAGUCUCACACAAGACAAAGAAAGGUUGUGGAAAUGUGCCCUAAGUAAAGAGACGUGACCACUAA
rnacentral:lncRNA from 1 species